CCUACGGGUGGCUGCAGUGGGGGAUAUUGCUCAAUGGGCGGAACCCUGAUGCAGCGACGCCGCGUGGGGGAAGGAGUGCUUCGGCAUGUAAAGCUCUAUUGGUAGGGAAGAAGCAAGGCGGUACCUGACUAAGAAGCCCCUGCUAACUACGUGCCAGCAGCCGAGGUAAUACGUAGGGGGCAAGCGUUAUCCGGAUUUACUGGGUGUAAGGGGAGUGUAGACGGGGCUGCAAGUCCGGGGUGAAAGCCCAUGGCUUAACCAUGGUACUGCUCUGGAAACUGUGGAGCUUGAGUGCGGGUGGGGCAGGCGGAAUGCGUGGUGUAGCGGUGAAAUGCGUAGAUAUUAGGCAGAACACCGACGGCGAAGGCAGCCUACUGGACCGUAACUGACGUUGAGGCACGAAAGCGUGGGGAGCAAACAGGAUUAGAUACCCCUGUAGUC
rnacentral:rRNA from 1 species